ACGGGCACCCAUUACUUUGGGGGAGUUGGAUGGGGACAGCAAGCUUCAGGGAUGCUUCAGGCUGACCUUCAAAGCGGCUGGAAUUGGUGUUUGGGGACACGGGCAAGAGGUGUGACCCUGACCCCAAAGUACUUAUAGCAGGUGUGGUCCUCAUGGGUGCCCAGUCCCUUGUCUCAGUCUCCUGGCUCUUUCCUGAACCCUCUCUGCUUUCUGCAGACCCAGCAGCUCUCUCAUUGGCACCCAUUACAGCUAUAAUGCAACUCAUGCCCUUCUCUUGAGCUGGCUGUCCAAAAUGAUUCCUCUUUGACUUUUUAAGGAAAUAAAACUCCUAUAUCUAACUGCAACACUUUUUUUGCUCUUAGACAGUUGCUUGUACUUUUGCACUGAAAAAAACAUCAUUUUCCUUUGUCCCCAGCUCUUCAAACUAUCAAAAAACCACUUUUAUUGGUGUUCUUCUAUGCAAUUUACUCUUUUCUGAGCUUUUCCAUCAUUGGCAAAAUUUAUCAGCAACAGUAUUAUAUCUUUUGAAAGGUGUUGACAAAGUGUUAAAUAACGUGGGGCCAAGGACAAGAUCCAAGUGUUGAGAACUGAGGAAUGUCUCUAGAAAUGUUCCUGCUUUGGUGCCAGCUCCUGGUUUGUCCUUAAACUGAGGAAUCAGCUCAUAAAGCUGUUGGUGUCUUGGCAGUGGGAAGAGAGGAGAAAAUGCAACUGCUCUGGUGAAUCUUCAUAACUAGCUGGAGAUUUGGGCCCUUCCUUCCUCCACACCCCCAACACUCAACCUUUGGACAUCCUGGGCUCAAGGCUGGCUGAUGGAUGCUUUGAGUCCAGCAGGACUUAAUCACUACAAGGAUGGAUGGAUGGAUGGAGCCAAGCCUUGCCAUCACUCCUGUGCCAUGACAGUGCUCAUGCAUGAAGCCUGCUGGGCAGCCUGUUUUAUCACUUAGAUGGUCACAGGGUGGCUGAAAAAGCCCACUUUGGUUCUGCAAUUCAGACUAUACCAUAUAUACACAUACCUGACAUAAUGACAGUAUAUAAUAAGGGCCUGCUGAAUGCUGCACCUCGGGGUUGGAAGUUCUGGGGCACAAGCACGUGGGCAGGGGUGGGAAGGACUUGGGGGGGAUGGUUAGAAAAGGACAUGGAGGAAUUUGGAGUAGUGAGGUGAGGUCUGUGGGCAAAACAUCAGAGGUAGGAGCACAGCUGGCAGUCCCAGUGUUCAGGGAGGAGCUGGCUGUCCAGCUUGGCCAGGACCAGGUCAUGCAUACCCUCAGUCUCCACCCGCUUCAUGCUGUCCAGCCAUCCAGGUGAUCCACAUCUACUUAGCUCUGUGGCAUAAACAUGCCUUUGCUGCCUGAUCCUGGCACAAGAUGUUGAGGAAGCGCGAGGGUGGUGGGGAUAAAGCUCUGGGGGUGCUGCAGAGGAAGGCAGACACGCCAGCACAGGGAUGCCUUCACGGAGCACAGAUCCCGGAGCCCACCGCUCCACCUGCACUCCCUGCAAAAGUCAGCCCUUGAGUUUGAAGUACCAGCUUCUAUUUUUGCUGACUUGCCAGGGAAAGGAAGUUUCUGGCUUGACCAGGAGAUGUCUCUAUUAAGCCACGUCGAGCUGAUCGCGGAGGCAAAGCAGGAGGAGAGGGCUGUGCUGGGGAACUCAGACCUGCAAGAGGUGCUGCUGUGGAGGGACCUUCCCCUCGCUCCCACGCUGCCUCAAUUAGCAGCACCUUAUUACAGCCCUCCGGCAGCUAUUUAAGUGCUGUUUCCUCUCGGAACAGCUCAGGUGGAGCUAGUAGACCUCUGCCUGGCUUUCAAGGCAGACUGCAACAGAUCUGGUGUGAAGAGCCUCUUCUCCCUCGUGAGCUCUGCCCAUCACUGCAUCUCCUUCAGCAAGAAGACCAGCGGAAUUUCCUGUGAUCUACAGGAAGGACCAGAGAGAGAGGGACAAAAUACUGCACGAAGAAGCUGUGGCUGCAAUGUUUGCUGCAAGGUUCAUCCCUGCCCAUGGGACUUUAUUUUUGGGACCAAGCCCUGGGCACUGUUGUGCUGCCCCCAGUGCAGGCAGCAGAUGGGCAAUCCUGCCUGACCCAGCUUUUGUGGGGGUGAGAGCAUCACAGAGACCAUGGAAGGAGAUGGAAAGAGCUCUGCAGGAAGCUGAGGACCAAAUUAGCAUUUCCUCACCCAGUUUUUGGGAAGACGGGGGUCAUUUUUUCUCACAGAGGUUGUGGUGGUGCAGUUAUAACUCUCUUGUUUUUUAGCCUUUGGGAAUGGGUUUUGGGUUUGUUUGAGGUGUGGCAAUGUUUUGGCAUGCAAGCCUGCUUGCAGGGCAGUAAAGGACACAACACCCUCUGCCUAAUUUUAGGGGAAAAGGUGAUGAUGGAGACUAAAGAGAGGCCAAUUUUGGCAGCUGAUGGGCAGGAACAUGCCUGUGACUCUAUGUCUUAACUCAGGGAUUUGAGAACUUUAAAGCCCAGUGAGCUACAUCCCUUCCCUACCCAAGACCCUGCAUUCAGGAACAGCCAUCAUUUUGCAUUUUGUCUGCCUUUAAAUCCCAAAAUGUUGCCAGGUAUUUUUAAGUUUAGGCUUAAAAAUGGAAAAAAGAACCAAUGGUUUGCAUUUUUUUGCUUCAGGGGGAUGCUGUUCAGCUUAAUUCCUAGUAAUAGUGAAAUGUUUGAAAGAGCUGUUUUUUCCUACCAAAAGCUUCUCUCUGAUAUUGCUACAUUUUUCAGCCUUAAUCCUGAAUGAUCACCUGAUGGUGACUGCAAAUUAUCCCAGGGUCUGUACCUGCAUUACAUGAGCUUCAACUUCUGACACAAUUUGCAUGUGGAUGUAGCUAACAUCACAUCAAUAAUCUCCCAGCAACUCUUUGGAAAUGAGAGAAUUGAGUUAUUUAAAGCAAUUGAGCCCUUGCUUUGUGCUGUGCAAUGAUACUUCAUAGUUAAGAGCAUUUAAAACUUCGGGGCCAAAUUCUGCAGUUCUCCACUGCCCAGAGCUGCCUUUGAUUCCAGUGAAGGUUUUAUACAAGUGAAAACAUCAUAAUUGAGCCCUUAAUCAGCAUUUCUUUUACUGCUGGGGCUUGAAUACUCUUGUAAAGAGGCUCCAUGUACAAUUGAGGCUAUACUUAUGGCUAAAUGGUGUAGAAAUUAUGAAUAUAGAUUAAAUACUUGAUGUACAAUUUUUGUUGCUGCGCACAGAAAAAUACGGGGUAUUUAGGGCAACAUUUUUAUCCUUUCAUCUUUUCUGGCACGAUUUCUACCUGCUCGUCACUGUGAUUAAAAUUCCAUGGCAGGAAUUAACUGUGCGUGUGACUCGGGGGUGCUGAAGGUUGUUGUCUGGGAGCCAGCAGCUGCUCGCUUUGAUCCAAGCUGCUUUGGGGAGCUUGAUGUAGAGAGCAGGGCGAGGAAGAGGAGGAGGAGGAGAAAGACUCAUUGGAAAGGAAAAAGAGGGUGCAACAACAAGAGGCAGUGAGGCUGGAAGGUUUCUUUUCAUAUCAUUGGAUUUUUUUUUUUGGGAUAUUGCUUUGAGGACAUGCAUGUCUUGACACAAAAACUAACGGGGAAAUGCAGGCUGGCAGUGUCUGGGGAGUCUGAUGUGCAGCACAGAAAUGGCAAACACGGGCUGGGUGUUUUGGGAAGGGGGUGAUUG